rnacentral:lncRNA from 1 species
GGACUAGAAGACUAAUCAAGUAACAUCAUAAACAACUGCAAGGUAACUUCAUCACUCCAUUUUGUUUUCUUUUACUUUUGAACUUGGUUUAUGGUUUAAUGUUAAUAUACUAAACUUAUGAAUCAUUGAUCAUUUCGUAAUUGAUAUCAUACUUGGUUUAUAGCUUAAUGUUUAUCAUGGUUUUUCAUUUUUCAACUAAUCUUAUUUGGUUUUUAUGUAACAGGAACAAGUCAUGGAGUUUGGAUCAUGGCUUUGGAUUUGAACUUCUUUCUUUAAUUUGGAUGCUUUGAAUUUGAUUUUGAACAAUGUUUUUAGGUCUUGCUUUGGAUUUGAACUUCUUUCUUUCAUUUUAGAUGCUUUGGAUGUUGAUUUGGAUGGUUUUAUUUGGAUGUUGUGGAUGUUGCGUUUUGGUUUGAACGUAUGGAACUUUAAACUUUUGUUAUGUCAUGCUUUGGUUUUACUUCA